rnacentral:rRNA from 1 species
GACGAACGCUGGCGGCAGGCCUAACACAUGCAAGUCGAGCGGACCUUUCGGGGUCAGCGGCGGACGGGUGAGUAACGCGUGGGAAUAUGCCCUUCUCUACGGAAUAGUCCUGGGAAACUGGGGGUAAUACCGUAUACGCCCUUUGGGGGAAAGAUUUAUCGGGGAAGGAUUAGCCCGCGUUGGAUUAGGUAGUUGGUGGGGUAAUGGCCUACCAAGCCGACGAUCCAUAGCUGGUUUGAGAGGAUGAUCAGCCACACUGGGACUGAGACACGGCCCAGACUCCUACGGGAGGCAGCAGUGGGGAAUCUUAGACAAUGGGGGCAACCCUGAUCGAGCCAUGCCGGGUGAGUGAUGAAGGCCUUAGGGUUGUAAAGCUCUUUCAGCUGGGAAGAUAAUGACGGUACCAGCAGAAGAAGCCCCGGCUAACUCCGUG